UCACAGGUGGCUCAGUGGUAGAGAAUCUGCCUGCAAUGCAGGAGAUGCAGGUUCAGUCCCUGGCUCUGGAA
rnacentral:tRNA from 1 species